rnacentral:rRNA from 1 species
AGAGUUUGAUCAUGGCUCAGGAUGAACGCUGGCGGUAUGCUUAACACAUGCAAGUCGAACGGGACUAUUCGUAGUUCAGUGGCGGACGGGUGAGUAACGCGUGAGAAUCUGCCCUUAGGUUGGGGACAACCACGGGAAACGGUGGCUAAUACCGAAUAAGCCGAGAGGUGAAAGAUUAAUUGCCUAAGGAGGAGCUCGCGUCUGAUUAGCUAGUUGGAGAGGUAAGAGCUCACCAAGGCGACGAUCAGUAACUGGUCUGAGAGGAUGAGCAGUCACACUGGGACUGAGACACGGCCCAGACUCCUACGGGAGGCAGCAGUGGGGAAUUUUCCGCAAUGGGCGAAAGCCUGACGGAGCAAUACCGCGUGAGGGAGGAAGGCUCUUGGGUUGUAAACCUCUUUUCUCAGGGAAGAAAGAUGACGGUACCUGAGGAAUAAGCAUCGGCUAACUCCGUGCCAGCAGCCGCGGUAAUAC